rnacentral:rRNA from 1 species
CACGAAGCUGGAAUCGCUAGUAAUCGCGAAUCAGAAUGUCGCGGUGAAUACGUUCCCGGGUCUUGUACACACCGCCCGUCACACCAUGGGAGUCGGGAAUGCCCGAAGUCAGUGACCCAACCUAUUGGAGGGAGCUGCCGAAGGCAGGUCUGAUAACUGGGGUGAAGUCGUAACAAGGUAGC